GCAUUGCUGAGGAGUCCCACGAUAGGACGAAACGGCCGUUCAGUGC
rfam:Schistosoma curassoni strain Dakar, Senegal genome assembly, scaffold: SCTD_scaffold0006531